UACGAGGGGUGCAAACGUUAUUCGGAUUUAUUGGGCGUAAAGGGUGUGUAGACGGUUUAUUAAGUUUGUUGUUAAAUCUUUCGGCUCAACCGGAAGCUUGCGGUGAAAACUGGUAGACUAGAGGAUGAAAGAGAGGAGUGGAAUUCUCGGAGUAGCGGUAAAAUGCGUAGAUCUCGAGAGGAACACCGAUGGCGAAAGCAGCUCCUUGGUUCAUUUCUGACGUUGAAACACGAAAGCGUGGGGAGCAAACAGG
rnacentral:rRNA from 1 species